rnacentral:rRNA from 1 species
ACGGCUCAGUAACACGUAGUCAACCUAACUCGUGGACGUGGAUAACCUCGGGAAACUGAGAAUAAACCACGAUAGAUCAUAGUGCCUGGAAUGGCUUAUGGUCCAAACAGUUUACUGCCAUGGGAUGGGACUGCGGCCUAUCAGCUUGUUGGUGAGGUAAUGGCCCACCAAGGCGAUUACAGGUACGGGCUCUGAGAGGAGAAGCCCGGAGAUGGGUACUGAGACACGGACCCAGGCCCUAUGGGGCGCAGCAGGCGAGAAACCUUAGCAAUGUGCGAAAGCACGACUGGGUCAGUCCGAGUGAUUCCUGAUAAAGGAGUCUUUUGCUUGUCCUAAAAGCACAGGUGAAUAAGGGGUGGGCAAGUCUGGUGUCAGCCGCCGCGGUAAUACCAGCACCUCGAGUGGUCAGGACGUUUAUUGGGCCUAAAGCAUCCGUAGCCGGCUUUGCAAGUCUUCGGUUAAAUCCACCUGCUCAACAGAUGGGCCGCUGGAGAUACUACAGAGCUAGGGAGUGGGAGAGGCAGACGGUAUUCAGUGGGUAGGGGUAAAAUCCUCUGAUCCAUUGAGGACCACCAGUGGCGAAGGCGGUCUGCCAGAACACGUUCGACGGUGAGGGAUGAAAGCUGGGGGAGCAAACCGGAUUAGAUACCCGGGUAGUCCCAGCUGUAAACGAUGCAAACUCGGUGAUGCAUUGGCUUAUGGCCAAUGCAGUGCCGCAGGGAAGCCGUUAAGUUUGCCGCCUGGGAAGUACGGACGCAAGUCUGAAACUUAAAGGAAUUGGCGGGGGAGCAC